rnacentral:rRNA from 1 species
GUGAGGAAUAUUGGUCAAUGGGCGAGAGCCUGAACCAGCCAAGUCGCGUGAAGGAUGAAGGUUUUAUGAAUUGUAAACUUCUUUUGCAGGGGAAUAAAGUACGGUACGUGUACCGUUUUGUAUGUACUCUGCGAAUAAGGAUCGGCUAACUCCGUGCCAGCAGCCGCGGUAAUACGGAGGAUCCAAGCGUUAUCCGGAUUUAUUGGGUUUAAAGGGUGCGUAGGUGGUUUGAUAAGUCAGCGGUGAAAGUUUGCAGCUUAACUGUAAAAAUGCCGUUGAAACUGUCGGACUUGAGUGUAAAUGAGGUAGGCGGAAUGCGUGGUGUAGCGGUGAAAUGCAUAGAUAUCACGCAGAACUCCGAUUGCGAAGGCAGCUUACUAAGCUACAACUGACACUGAAGCACGAAAGCGUGGGGAUCAAACAGGAUUAGAAACCCUGGUAGUCC